GUGGGGAAUAUUGGACAAUGGGCAAAAGCCUGAUCCAGCCAUGCCGCGUGUGUGAAGAAGGUCUUCGGAUUGUAAAGCACUUUAAGUUGGGAGGAAGGGCAGUAAGUUAAUACCUUGCUGUUUUGACGUUACCGACAGAAUAAGCACCGGCUAACUUCGUGCCAGCAGCCGCGGUAAUACGAAGGGUGCAAGCGUUAAUCGGAAUUACUGGGCGUAAAGCGCGCGUAGGUGGUUUUGUAAGUUGGAGGUGAAAUCCCCGGGCUCAACCUGGGAACUGCCUCCAAAACUGCAUGACUAGAGUACGGUAGAGGGUAGUGGAAUUUCCUGUGUAGCGGUGAAAUGCGUAGAUAUAGGAAGGAACACCAGUGGCGAAGGCGACUACCUGGACUGAUACUGACACUGAGGUGCGAAAGCGUGGGGAGCAAAUGGGAUUAGAUACCCCGGUAGUCC
rnacentral:rRNA from 1 species